GACGAACGCUGGCGGCGUGCCUAAUACAUGCAAGUAGAACGCUGAAGAGAGGAGCUUGCUCUUCUUGGAUGAGUUGCGAACGGGUGAGUAACGCGUAGGUAACCUGCCUUGUAGCGGGGGAUAACUAUUGGAAACGAUAGCUAAUACCGCAUAACAAUGGAUGACACAUGUCAUUUAUUUGAAAGGGGCAAUUGCUCCACUACAAGAUGGACCUGCGUUGUAUUAGCCAGUAGGUGAGGUAACGGCUCACCUAGGCGACGAUACAUAGCCGACCUGAGAGGGUGAUCGGCCACACUGGGACUGAGACACGGCCCAGACUCCUACGGGAGGCAGCAGUAGGGAAUCUUCGGCAAUGGGGGCAACCCUGACCGAGCAACGCCGCGUGAGUGAAGAAGGUUUUCGGAUCGUAAAGCUCUGUUGUAAGUCAAGAACGAGUGUGAGAGUGGAAAGUUCACACUGUGACGGUAGCUUACCAGAAAGGGACGGCUAACUACGUGCCAGCAGCCGCGGUAAUACGUAGGUCCCGAGCGUUGUCCGGAUUUAUUGGGCGUAAAGCGAGCGCAGGCGGUUUGAUAAGUCUGAAGUUAAAGGCUGUGGCUCAACCAUAGUUCGCUUUGGAAACUGUCAAACUUGAGUGCAGAAGGGGAGAGUGGAAUUCCAUGUGUAGCGGUGAAAUGCGUAGAUAUAUGGAGGAACACCGGUGGCGAAAGCGGCUCUCUGGUCUGUAACUGACGCUGAGGCUCGAAAGCGUGGGGAGCGAACAGGAUUAGAUACCCUGGUAGUCCACGCCGUAAACGAUGAGUGCUAGGUGUUGGAUCCUUUCCGGGAUUCAGUGCCGCAGCUAACGCAUUAAGCACUCCGCCUGGGGAGUACGACCGCAAGGUUGAAACUCAAAGGAAUUGACGGGGGCCCGCACAAGCGGUGGAGCAUGUGGUUUAAUUCGAAGCAACGCGAAGAACCUUACCAGGUCUUGACAUCCCGAUGCUAUUUCUAGAGAUAGAAAGUUACCUCGGUACAUCGGUGACAGGUGGUGCAUGGUUGUCGUCAGCUCGUGUCGUGAGAUGUUGGGUUAAGUCCCGCAACGAGCGCAACCCCUAUUGUUAGUUGCCAUCAUUCAGUUGGGCACUCUAGCGAGACUGCCGGUAAUAAACCGGAGGAAGGUGGGGAUGACGUCAAAUCAUCAUGCCCCUUAUGACCUGGGCUACACACGUGCUACAAUGGUUGGUACAACGAGUUGCGAGUCGGUGACGGCAAGCUAAUCUCUUAAAGCCAAUCUCAGUUCGGAUUGUAGGCUGCAACUCGCCUACAUGAAGUCGGAAUCGCUAGUAAUCGCGGAUCAGCACGCCGCGGUGAAUACGUUCCCGGGCCU
rnacentral:rRNA from 1 species